GGAACCAAUCCAGGAGAGGCGGCGCGACUCGAGGGCUCCCGGGCUCCUAGCGGCGCGGCGCGACUCGAGGAGAGGCGUGGUCCUGGCGGCGCGCGAGGCGACGGUGGGCGAAGGCAAGGGCGACGGCACGCGAAGGCGAGGGCUCGGCGACACACCGGCGGCGAGCUUCUCCUCGUCCGCCUUCUCGCCGGUAACGCGUCACCCUCGUCUUCUUUGCCUUCUUUUCUCCCUCGGGCGCUAGGGUUCUUGGCUUCUUCUUCUUGGUUGUGAGGUUAUAGGAGAUGUAUAGGAGGGGAGCAGGACGAGCAGGGAGGCAGAUCUGGAGAGAUGGGCUCCGACGAGGCAGAUCUGGAUGAGGCUGUGAUGGCGUCCGUGCAGAAGGUGGCCAUGGCGAGAGCUCCUUCCCGCCUUGGCUCACAAAUCGGGCACUCCUGAGAUGCUGGCGCUUGGUAAGUCGAUCAGCAGGAGCUACAGGUAGAGCUCUGCUUUUCUUCUCUUUUGUUUCGUAUGUAUAAUGAUGAUUGUUGAAUUGUGGAAUUACCUUUUUCCUAUUCUAUUCGCUACCUUUCAGAGGUGAAAAGUGGAUCUUAGAUAUUACCUUCUUGUAUAAAGUAGUUGAAGUUAAAUCUCAGUCUAUAUAUUUGUUGUUGUUUAUCCUUGCUUUGCAUAUUGCCUUAAUCUCCUAUAUAUAUCUCCUAUAUCUAUAGCCUUUUCAUCAUUAACAAGUCUGGUGGCUCUUGCUGUCCUGUGAGUAAAAUGUGUAAUACAACACUUCAGUCCAUCAUUACUCGUUUCUUAGAGACCUGAGUGAGAAUGAACUGGUAUGGCCGAUUCCUACUAUACUUGGCAACCUAUUAUACACUGGCAAACUGUUAGUAUCAUCAAUCAACUAUACUUUUCUUUCCCAAACCAUCUACCUUUUCUUUUAUUAAUGGUUUGUACAACCAUUCCUUUUCGGUUAUUUACAUGGCAACAAACUUACUGGACACAUACCGCCAGAACUGGGGAACCUGAGUAAACUUAGCUACUUGCAGCUGAAUGAUAAUGAACUAGAAGGAACCAUUCCAGCAGAGCUUGGCAAGCUCACAAAAUUAUUUGAAUUAAAUCUUGCCAACAACAAGCUUGAGGGUCAUAUUCCUGCAAACAUCAGUUCUUGCAGUGCACUGAACAAAUUGUAAGUUUGUAGGCAUGCAUUUAUCACAAGUUUCAAUAGAACAAUUAUGUGUUUCUCAUGCCUAAUCAUUUUAUUCUGUUCUCAGCAAUGUUUAUGGCAAUAGACUGAAUGGCUCUAUCCCUGGUCAGUUAGCAUGUUUGUAGUUUCAUAGUUUCAGUUUGGCCAAAUAUGGAACAACUCCUGUCAGCAAUUCACUUCAUUGUAAGUUGUAACAACCAUUGUUACCAAGCUGAUAUCGUGGAUUAGGAAACGUUACUUGUAUAACACAUUGUAUGCUUCAAAUUUAGUUUUCAACCAAGCAUGCCACAACUUGAGUUUUUUUAUUACUUCUGCGUCAUUUGUUUUCUGUCUACCACUAUUUCCUUUAUAUGCUGCCCUGCAUCCUACUCUUAAAGAAAGACUUUGCAUUUCCUUACCAAGUCACCGAGCCAUUCAACUUUUUGAUGAUGUUUUAAGAAAAGAGAAAUCUGACAGCUUCUUCUCGUGAUCACUAUGCAGCCUUAUUUUAGAUAAUCAGGACGAUGACCAGUGGCGGGUUGGCUUGAACUCAGCUAUGUUCAGAAGGGUGUCCAUCCAUGUGUUCGGGAGCUGGGAUGCAGUACCUGUGUUCUGCAGCAAACUUGUUCCCGGAUAAUGUCAUGUAGUUAAUGAUUCCUAGGCCAGGAACCAAACCAGACCAGGGUUGAGUGACACGGGUGGAAUCACUCAAACCAGGUCUGGAAUCAAAACAGGCCUGGAAUCGAAACUGGACUGCGGAACAAGGCCAAAAGGAGGAAGAGAGACAGACAAGGCUUCUUUUUUUCCUGGACAAAUCUGCUGAUGGGUCAUGGGCCUUCAUUAGACUCUCACCUAAAAAUAGAGCCCACAAUGGUAUGUCUAUACGUGCAAUCCCUGCUUGAUGCAUUUCAGAAAAAAAAACAUGUCUUCCAAUAACUUCUGAGAGCCUCCCAUUCUCAUUGCUCACUAUUAGCCUCCAUUCUUUUUUUUUCUCCUAUAAUAACAAAGUUCUUGACCGUCAUCGCUUUCUCCCCGAUAAAAAGAAAAGGCAACGCGAACAAAAAACAGGGAAGGCCAGAUCUCGGCCGUCUAGUUAAGAUCGAAUGGCAUGAGUCGCAUCCAGCUGUGCUGCCAUCCUCGCAAAAGUAAGAACCGGGCUUGCAUGCAACCUUCAGGAGGGGCCUCUUGCGGCGAUGAUGGUCGUCGAGGAGUCCGUGAAGAAGGUGGAAGAGAAGGCGGUGAAGCUAGGCAUGGUAGCCAAGGAUAUCGCCAGCGCCAUGGCGACCACGAUGGAGGAGAAGACGGCGCUCUAGGAGCCGGACCCCAAGACCGGGUACUAUCGGCCGGUGACCGGCACCAAGGAGGUGGACGCUGCCGACCUGCACGCCGAUAUGCUCUAGCAGAGGAUGCUGCAGGACAGAAGCAGCAAUCCCUUGUGCCUGUUGGUUUGGUGCAGGCGCGGUCUGUCCCUGAUUGAAGAUUACCCGGUGCAGAUGGCUGCCUAUUAUUAGUCAUCUUUAAGCUAGUCUCAAUGGGGAAUUCAUAGAUGAUUUUAUGGCACUAAAUAUUAUUAAUUUUGCUAACGUGACAAGGGAAGAGAA